AGAGACUGAUAAUACUAGAGAAAUUUCAGAGUUAAUUUAUGCUCAGCAUCAUAAACCAUUUUAAAUUAAAAUUAACUCUCCAAUACAUUUUGUUUAGUGCUUGAAUUGAAUAUAUAUAUAUAUAAAUGUGUGUGUGUUUAUUUUUAAAGGUGAUAUUCAUUUUUAAUUGGGCCCCUCUAAUUAAAAAUUCUGCCUCCGUUAUGAGAGUUCAAAUCUCGAGUAGCAGAGAAUCUUAGUUCUGUCCCAAGUUAUUUCAGCAAAUAAAGACUAGCCCUGUUGGUAAGGUAACCAACAAGCACAGGCAGUAAACUAAACAAAUGGGGAGUUUAAGCAUGAAUCCAUGAAAAAGAAGCCCCAUUCAACAAAAGUUUUGGUCCAACAGAUUCACUAGUGCAUUGAAAUGAAGUCAGCUACAUGUGGGAAAAGCAAUUAUUGUGGUGUAAGUUUGGGAAAUCUAUUUCCCUUUUGUUCUUUCCUUCAGUUUUUUUCUUUUUUCCUCUUAUUCCUCUUCUUUUACUUUUCGAAUUUUCCACAUUCUUUUUGGGAUGAAGGGUGGGAGAGACGAAUUUUUGGGAGAUGAGUAGAUUCUAGAACGUUACCUAUGUGAUUUUCAACUUUUUUUUAGAAGGGAGGGAACUUUAAUGUGUGAACUAAACUCCAAUAAGAAUCAAACUAGUAAUGAAAGUCACUUGCAGUCAAAUGUGUAAAGCGUACAUACCAGCAUAAGCAA
rnacentral:misc_RNA from 1 species